rnacentral:lncRNA from 1 species
GUUUUCCUCUGUUCCGGUGGAUCUGAACCUAUGUCCUAUGCUGAGAUGCUGGUGUCUUGUGCCCCAGCAGCUCUUCCAAGUUCCCAUCUGUGUCUUAGGCCCAGCUACGUUCUGACCUUCCCUAGGUCAGCAGUCAAGAAUGGUGCUGAUGAUACUGGCCAGUGAGUGGGGACCCGUUCUUUCUGAAAAGAUUCCAAAUCUCUCUGCCUUUCCCCCCGCCCCCUCCCCCGCAGGAGCCAGGUGCUACGCCCGGCAGGUGCACGUCCCCAAGGGGCCUCUUUACCGUGUGGCUGGCACCGCUGUCUCUAUCUCCUGCAAUGUGAGUGACUAUGAGGGCCCUUCCCAGCAAGACUUCGAGUGGUUCAUGUACAGACCCGAGGCCCCAGCUACGUCACUAGGCAUCAUCAGCACCAAGGACAG